AUGUGUCGUCCUCAUCGAGUGGUGAUGAGUGGGGGCGGACACCGUGGCGCCGACCUCCGGGGGUGGGCGGCGUCGUGGCGUGCUCCGUGUCGUCGUCUUGGUCGAACCGUCGUGACGAGGUGGACAGCAGGUGGUGAUGACGACCUCCUCGUCGUUCUUUGUGACGCUGGCUUGGUGAAGACCACCCCCGGCAACGUUGACUUCAUCUUCCGGUCCGGCGGCUCCAUCUCCGGCGACGGUCCAAUCAUGCGAACGUUGCCUUCGGCAACGCUCCCGACUUGUGUGCGUGCAUACUAUAUGCCAAGAAAGAACUAG
rnacentral:rRNA from 1 species